UACAGAGGUCUCAAGCGUUGUUCGGAUUCAUUGGGCGUAAAGGGUGCGUAGGUGGCGCGGUAAGUCGGGUGUGAAAUCUCGGAGCUUAACUCCGAAAUUGCAUUCGAUACUGCCGUGCUCGAGGACUGGAGAGGAGACUGGAAUUCAUGGUGUAGCAGUGAAAUGCGUAGAGAUCAUGAGGAAGACCAGUGGCGAAGGCGGGUCUCUGGACAGUUCCUGACACUGAGGCACGAAGGCCAGGGGAGCAAACGGG
rnacentral:rRNA from 1 species